UGAAAGAAUCGGUCGAGUUAUGUUUGU
rnacentral:sRNA from 1 species